UACGAAGGGGGCUAGCGUUGCUCGGAAUCACUGGGCGUAAAGCGCACGUAGGCGGAUUGCUAAGUCAGGGGUGAAAUCCUGGAGCUCAACUCCAGAACUGCCUUUGAUACUGGCGAUCUUGAGUCCGGGAGAGGUGAGUGGAACUGCGAGUGUAGAGGUGAAAUUCGUAGAUAUUCGCAAGAACACCAGCGGCGAAGGCGGCUCACUGGCCCGGUACUGACGCUGAGGUGCGAAAGCGUGGGGAGCAAACAGG
rnacentral:rRNA from 1 species